rnacentral:lncRNA from 1 species
UUUAUUUAUGCUCCCCGGGAGCCUGGGAUCUGGCUGCUCGGGAGCCGCUGGCUCUGCCUUUCCCUUUCCGGGUGCAAGGCGACAGCAAAGUCUCUAUGCAACUCAGCCCCGGCGCGUACUUUGCCAGGUAUGUACGGCGGGCGAGGCGCGUUCUGCGCGGAGGCAGAUGCUGCUGCCGCCACGGCGGCGGCGGCUGCCAGCUCCCGAGCUCUAUAACUGUCACACUGCACCUGAGCUGAACUUGAACAGAGAGUGAAGGGGCCCAUCAGGCGAACGCUCUCUUUCGGCUGGCACAGAGGGUGUCAGUCGACGUGAGGGGACAGAGAACUCUAGACCGACGCCCCCCGCCGCGAGCCCUGCACUUCACCUCCAUCUCUGCAAGCGCAGCGUUGAGUAGAGGAGGCCAGCGGAC